rnacentral:lncRNA from 1 species
GUCAUACCUUUUAGUUGAUUCACCAGGCAAAGGUGAAGUUCUGUUUAUUGCCCUGAGUCAUAGUUCUCCUUUAUACUUCAGAUGAUGAGUCUGAUUGAAGGAUAUGAUUAAAGUGAUGUAAUUUUCCAUGAACUCUUUCUUUCUGUCCCUCUCUACUCUCUUCCACCUUCUCUCUGUAGCAGUGUGUGUGAUGAGGACUAACAGCUGCCAGUCUGACAGCAGUGGUUUCCUGGAAGAACCCUUCAUCCCGUCCAUUACCCAGCAUCCCUCACCUGGACCCGAGCUCAUGAAGGUUACACGGAGAACAUUCUAGAAGUGCAACAAUCUAGGCGUGUUACUUUUAGUUAGUUCUACUGACUUACUUAAACUUACUUUAAGUUAUUGCUACUAACUUAUAUACUUCACCAGCCCAAAAUAUUAAAAUAUAUUAUUGAAUUGAUAUUCUGUCUAUUUCAUGGUGCACAAUUUAAGAGGUCAUUCAUUAAUUUAAACUGACAGUGUUUGGUUGUUGUUUAAGGCUUUGUCGGGAAUAUCUGGAGGCAGCACUGACAGCCAGAUCACUGUAAAAGGAGCUUCACCCCCCUCGUCCCCCCCAUCCACUUCCCUGGACCCUUCCCCUCCUUCCCUCUCCACGUGCCACCCAAGACCCGAGUCUCCUCUAUACAGACCAGAGACAACAAGCCCUACAGAGGAGACACCCAGACACCAGGAUUCCCCCACACCCCACUCCCUCCUCUCUGAUGCCUUGGAGAUGACUAACUCUGCGUUUGGAGCCAGGCCAAGCCUAAUGGAAAACACUGUCACUGAGGAAGAUGGAUUCUCUUCGGCCUGCUGUGCACCUUGUCAUAAGCCAGACUCUCCGUUACGGCACGUUAUUAUUAUCAUGAAAACAGAUAGAGAAACAGAACACUUUACUCUGGAAUCAGAGGAAGCUGUUCCAAUAGGAGGAGAGGAAAAGGCCAUAGCGGAACAAAGUGGUAAUGUUCAGACAGGAACAGAGGCUGUUGGUGAUCAGGACACCGAUUGUUAUGGGUCACAUGAAGGCUCUCUGAUGGACUCGGUGGCUCUGGUGCAGAUGAAGAAAGAGAUGGAGAUGAAGAUGGAAGUACAGAUUAGUUCUGGUUUGGAAGGUCCAGUGUUGGGUCCUGUCGCUGUUCCUGAGGUGGUGGAUCAAGACUCUGAGACUGGAUCUGUUUGUCAGGACCGGUCCUCUGAAGACCCUCUAUUAGGAUCUGACCCUAACCUCUCAGCAGUGCUAAGCCCUGCCUCCUCUCUCCCCCCAGCAGAACCUCUCUCUGCCUCCUCUCUCCCCCCAGCAGAGCCUCUCUCUGCCUCCUCUCCCCCCACAGUGUACUGGGAAACAGGUGGCUCAGAGAUUUCAGAGGGAUCCUCAAGCUUGGUUGUCCAAGAGCCUGUCCCACCACUAAAUCAACCAACAAACCCAUCAACAGACCUACCUCCAGGCCCAGCUUUGACCUCACCUUCAGAGCAAGUGUCACUUCCAUCCCCAGCCUCUUCCCCACCACCAUCUCCGUCCCCAGCCUCAUGCCCACACCAACCUCCAGCCUCAGCUUUUCUGGCAGCAUCCAGCUCAUCUCCAACACAAUCCCAUUCCCCAAUCCCAAACCAUUCUCUAUCAGCCCUAACCACAACACCAAUCCCAUCCUCAAUUCCAAACUCACCAUCAGCCCAUUCCUUAACCGUAGCUCCAUCUCAAGCCCCAACCCCACUCGUCCCCCACAGUGGUGCUUUCAGGUCAGGCCGAUCUGUGUCUGUCCAGAUGCCCUCCUCCCUUCCCUCUGUCUCCCACUCUGCCCUCCGGAGAGGUGCUGUCCCCCACACCCCCUCCCCGCUCGGCCCUUCCUUCGAGCCCCUCCCCCUGACUGACCUGACGCUCCGGCAGAGGCGGAACUCCUUCUCCAGAAAGACGUGGUCAGAUGCUGAUGUCUCCCACUUUGCAGAACACAGAAACACUGCGGUUGCCAUGGGAAAGGCAGACAUGACACCUGAGACGAUAUCCCUCCCGUCCCCCUGCCCCUCCCCCUCCAUGUCAUCGUCCAAUCGGUGGCUGUCUCGCGACGGUUCACGAAGAUCCGGAAGUUUCCAGAUGAAGUCCACCUCCUUGGACACUGGGCUGUGGCAGGAGGAAGUGGGGGAAGAAGUGGGGGAUGAGGAUAGACGGUGGGAACGAGCCCUGUUCUCUGGGCUUUCCUGCUGCUGCUCCUGUGAUAACCGCUGUCGCUGCUGUUCUCAGAACAAUCGCCACAAACCGUCCUCCGUUUCAGCUUUCCCUUAUUCACUGGAUGAGCUGGAGGGGAUGAUGCACUGUAUGAGGAAGUUCCGCUGCGUCCUGACAGACAUCGAGGAACAGCUGUCAGAAGACCAGGCCUCGGUGUACAGCUCACUCUCUGACACUGACAGAGAGGAAGUGCGAGACAUCUUGGAGCUGAGGAAAGCUGUGAAACAGGAAGCUGGAGAGUUGGAACUGCAGCUCACUGACCUGGUUCAUCGCUAUGACGACAGCUUCAAAAUGAAGAUGCACAGACUACUCGAUGAACAAUCUCACCUCUACACCCAGCUAAGGCUCCUGCCCCUGAUCCCCACAACCACAUCCACCCCUGGUUCUGCCUCCUCCAGGAGCAUGGCCACUCAGUGCUGCCUGCUGCCCUGGCUGCCUUUGACGGACAUGUCCAGGCCACGCCCCUCAUCGCAGGCCACCUGGGAUUUGGAGUCCAGAUCAGCUCUGCCAGAUUCCAGUUCUAUGGGCCAGAGGCUAAAACAUGGUUCUACAGGCACCAAGCCAGACAAACUGGACAUUGUGGGUUUCAUCCAGAGACUGAAGGAGUCCAUACGCCACUCUGUCAAUACUGACUCACUGGAGUAAAAGAGAGGUGGGGUAGCCCUGACUGACAGAUCUAGGCCAGGAUUCAAUCCGAAGCGUUUCAUAGGGCUGCGUACAAUACAGGCGAUAAUUUGCCUUUCAAAGGCAUUUUCCUUGACGUUCGCAGAGAUCGCUUUCAUGGUAAACGCUGUGCAUGUCGGCUCAGACGUAAAUUACCUUUGAAAAGUCUUAUAAUAGUGCUCUGCUCUGUAACACGCCUUCGCGUGAAUACCAGACCUAUACCCUCUAAACUUGACUGAAAAAAACACUGCCUGUGUCCUCACCCACCCGUGGAUUGUUUUUCUGUCUUACAGAUGCAGCUUCUGCUGUAGCUUACUGAAGAUGAUCUGCUGUCUAAGUUAGUGUGUCCAAUCAACCUGGACUCGGGUAGAUGUAACAUGAUAAAUGUAAAUCUGUCUCCCUCCAUUUAGUAUGAUAUGUUAGGUGUGGUAAGGUAUGUAUUUCUUUGUGGAUGUCCAUCAUCCAUUAUGUUAUGAAUAACAAUUCAUAUGAUAUGUUACGAAUUGCAAUUUGUACAAUAUGUCACGAAAUUGCAAUUUAAGUAUGAUAUGUCACAAAUUCCAGUUUGAUGUGGCUAACCUUAACAUUAGUUAAGUAGCUUACGUUAACUAGGCAAAGGGUUAGCUAACAUGCUAAGUAGUUGCAAAAAGUAGUACGUUUCAAAAUAGCUAAUUAGCCUAAAUGCUCAAGUUGUCCGGGAUGAGAUCGGAAGACGCAACCUUAGAGAUGCUAGAAGUUUGCAUUAUAUGCCCACCUAUCCACCCCGACCCACCACCCUCCCUUCGUUUUUGCCUCAUGUAACCUUACCAAACAUACCAUAUCAUAUUAAUUUGAGUGUCCUGGAUUUACGUUGACUAUGUCUAGUCUAUGAAACCAGGCUGGUGUAAUCAAUGGAUUCCAUUACUACCAAAGUAGUCCAGUGUCCACAUGAUGAAUAAAGAGCAUGAAUGCAUGAAAUCAUGUGUGCUAUAUCUAUAACGUGCCAAUGCAUAACAUACUGUACAUAGAGUUUGUGUGUAUUGUCAUUCCCUACGUAUCAACAACAGCAUUCGUCUCAACUAAGGGUGUGUUCUCAUUCCUUACUGUGACAUGAAGUCUCCUACUGUUACCUACCUGCAUCAAUGCUCUGGGUAAGACAGAUCCCCAUCCACAUGAGAUCCAUGCAGUAUGUGUAUGCUAUAGAGAGGAGCUUCUCUUCCGUGUCACCCCCCCCCCCCCCCUCGCUCUGGGUUUUUCCUUAUUGCACAAGAGGUGGUCUAGCUCACGUCUACCUGUCUCUUCAGACCCCAAUUAGCAACUGUGUAGUACCAGCCUGUGAGCCUGAUGCAUUUCAUGACCCCCUCCACUGGUGCUCCCAACUUAAAUGCAAGAGAACCACAUGCCAUUUAGGAACACAAGAAAAUAAGUAUGUUUUAUUGCGAAACAGCCUACUGUAUAUAGAGCCCCACAGUGGAAGUGUCAUAAUACCCAUAAACCUAACGGUCAAACAAGGAGUCAGCUUGUCCUAGAGAGAUUUAGAUGGUUAUCAAAAUGCCACGCCAGGGUAAGCCUACACAAAACAGCUCUUAUUUUAAGUGUUUGUAAAAUCCCCUACAGGAACAAGGAAUGGUGGAAAAACAAUUACAACCAUUUCCUUGUUUGACUGCUAGAUUUUAUGGGUAUUAUGACUCAUACUGUGGUACUCUAUUGGGCCUAAGAAUUCUUGUUACUUUUGAAGCAAAUGUUGUGCCCUACAAAGUAAUAUGUAUAUUAGUUUAUAAUAAAAUGUUGAUAAAGUCAUUUGUGGAAUAUUAUGUUUCCACAUUCUGUAAAAGCACUAUUUUCUAUUGAGAUGGAUUCCAUAGAAAAUUGCACACUUUCUCUUUAAGAAGGUCAGGUUUGUGAUGGCAUUUGUCAUUCAACAUGGUGCUUUCAAGACAACUGGGAAAAAAACUAAGUCUAAUCAUGACGUCAGAGCUCUGGAAAGUAAGUAUGGUAGCUGCAGCCCAAUAGAACCCCAUAGUGGAGGUGUCAAAAUACCCAUAAAACAUAGUGGUCAAACAGGUAAAUGGUUUCAAUCAUUUUUCCACCGUUCAUGAUUUAAUGUUAAUAUUUCUACCAUAAGCCGCCAAUGUCGUUUUAGAGAAUUUGGCAGUAUGUCCAAAGGGCCUCACAACCACAGUCCACAUGUACCCAUGCCAGCUCAGGACUUCCACAUCCGGCUUCUUCAACUGCGGGAUCGUCUGAGACCAGCCACCUAGACAGCUGAUGAAAUUGUGGGUUUGCUCAACCAAAGAAUUUCUGCACAAACUGUCAGAAACCAUCUCAGGGAAGCUCAUCUGUGUGCUCGUCAUCCUCACCAGGGUCUUGACUUGACUGCAGUUUGGCGUCAUAACCGACUUCAGUGGGCAAAUGCUCACUUUCGGUGGCCACUGCCACGCUGGAGAAGUGUGUUCUUCACGGAUUAAUGUCGGUGUCAACUGUACCAGGCAGAUGGCAGACAGUGUGUAUGGCGAUGUGAGCGGUUUGCUGACGUCAACGCUGUGAAUAGAGUGCCCCAUGGUGGCGGUGUGGUUAUGGUAUGGGCAGGCAUAGGGUACGGACAAUGAACACAAUUGCAUUUUAUUGAUGGCAAUUUGAAUGCACAGAGAUACAGUGACGAUAUCCAGAGGCCAAUUCUUGCGGCAUUCAUCCGCCGCCAUCACAUGUUUCGGCAUGAUAAUGCACAGCCUCAUGUCGCAAGAAUGCUGUUCAUUGACUACAGCUCAGCAUUCAACACCAUAGUACCCUCUAAGCUCAUCAUCAAGCUGGAGGCCAUGGGUCUCAACCCCAUCCUGUGCAAUUGGGUCCUGGACUUUCUGACGGACCGCUCCCCGGUGGUGAAGGUAGGAAACAACCUACCCUUUGCUGACCCUCAAGGGUGCAUGCUCAGCCACCUCCUGUACUCCCUGUUCACCCACUACUGCUUGGCCAUGCACGCCUCCAACUCAAUCAUCAAGUUUGCAGAACAACAACAACGAAACAGCCUACAGGGAGAAGGUGAGGGCACUGAGUGUGGUGUCAGGAAAACAACUUCUCACUCAACGUCAGCAAAACAAAGGAGAUGAUCGUGGACUUCAGGAAACAGCAGAGGGAGCACCCCCCUAUCCACAUCGAAGGGACAGCAACAGAGACGGAAUGUUUUAAGUUCCUUGGCGUACACAUCACAGACAAACUGAAAUGGUCCACUCACACAGACAGUGUUGUGAAGAAACCUCAAGAGGCUGAAGAAAUUGGGCUUGUCACCAAAAACCAUGACAAACUUUUACAGCUACACAAUCAAAGCAUCCUGUCGGGCUGUAUCACGCCUUCAACCGCAAGGCUCUCCAGAGGGUGGUGCGGCCUGCACAACGCAUCACCGGGGGCAAACUUUCUGCCCUCCAUGACAGCUACAGCACCCGAUGUCACAGGAAGGCCAAAAAUAUCAUCAUGGACAUCAACCACCCGAGCCACUGCCUGUUCACACCGCUACCAUCCAGAAGGUGAGGUCAGUACAGGUGCAUCAAAGCUGGGACCGAGAGACAGAAGCUGUUUUUCAGUCUCAAGGCCAUCAGACUGCUUAACAUCAAUCACUGAUUCAGAGAUUCUGUUGCAUACAUUAAACCCAAUCACUGGCCACUUUAAUGAAUGCAUCAUUAGUCACUUUAUACAAUGUACUCUAAAUAAUGCCACUUUAAAAAUGUUUACAUAUCUUACAUUAUUCAUAUCACGUGUAUAUACUGUAUUUUAUACCAUCUAUUGCACUUUGCCUAUUCCACUCAGCCAUCGCUCAUCCAUAUACUUAAAUGUACAUAUUCUCAUUCACCCCUUUAGAUUUGUGUGUAUUAGGUAGUUGUUGGGGAAUUGUUAGAUUACUUGUUAGAUAUUACUGCACUGUCGGAACUAGAAGCACAAGCAUUUAGCUACAUUCACAUUAACAUCUGCUAACCAUGUGUAUGUGACAAAUAAAAUUUGAUUUGUACACACUUC